CCAUGUAAUUGUGCACGCUUUGUGGAAUUUUAAGCCUGUCAGAGUUUUCAUUUCCUGCUUGAACUGAUUUCUGUACUUCUCCCUCUCCCCUUCUUUCUCCCGCGCUUCCUUGUACUGUGCAUUCCUCAUCAACGAUGGCUUCUCGGACUCCACGAAACUGCGCUGUACUGAAGGGCGAAGUGGAUCUGACCGCACUGGCCAAAGAGCUUCGAGCAGUGGAAGAUGUACGGCCACCUCACAAAGUAACGGACUACUCCUCAUCCAGUGAGGAGUCGGGGACGACGGAUGAGGAGGACGACGAUGUGGAGCAGGAAGGGGCUGACGAGUCCACCUCAGGACCAGAGGACACCAGAGCAGCGUCAGUCCCCGGUCUCUUUUAGAGCGGAUGAGAGUAUUCUCUCAGAGCCUGCUUUCCACUGGGACCUAGUUGUUCCUAGACUAUUCCGUGACCCCAUGAGCACUUACUAUGUAGUUCUCGUGGAUUCAGCAGCAGGUCGCCUUGUGUUUCCCCUUCUCUUCGUUGGUGUGUGCAUGUGUCAGUGCUUCCCCCAGCACCCCAGCCUGUACUUUAUUUUUUCCUUUUGAUUUGAGGAUAUAUGAUCCAGGGGAAAUUUCAGUUUGGUAUAACUACUUUAAUUAGCCAUAA
rnacentral:sRNA from 1 species